CACACUUAGCUGCCUUUUUUAAAGCAUCUUCAAUACACCUUCUCUUAUGAACUGCACUCUUAAAAGAUAGUAGCACUUUAGCAGGCACGAUGCACAGUACAUUGCAGCCUUGGAUGAUUAAAGACUCUUGAACUAUUUUUCUCAUGCAAUUCCAGUUAUCUGUUAAGAGGUUUGCGACACUGUGCUUAGUUCUCUAUUUUAAAAAGUUUCCUUGGCAUUAAUUAAAAUCAUUUAAGCCUUAGAGGGGAGCAAAUAUUACCUGCACAUUUCCUGCAAAUUAUACUCACCUUAAAAUUACAACGUUGAGUAAUCUUCUAUUUCAAGUUCUAGCACCUUGGUCCUUGACAACAUUUAUUAUUCCUCUCGACUAACCAUCUUUGAGGAUUCUACGCUCCUCUAUGGAACCUCAAUUUCCACCUAUCUUUUUUUUUCUCACAGUUUUUAAGCUUUUAGUCUUUUAGCCCCAGAAAGAUCAUGGUGGCAUGGUUUGCAACUUGUGAACUCAUUUGUUUCUGAAUUGUUUUAACUCUGUUCAAAGAUAAGUUAGAACACCAUUUAAACCAGCUAAUUUGAUGGACUUGUCAGUGAACAAUAUGAUAAAGUGACGUGGGAAGGCUUCAUCUUGGCAUUUCCUACACUGCUGUUUAGUUUAUUUACUUACAGUCCUGAUGCAAUAGUGGGUUAUUUUCUUUUUAUUAUAGGUUGAUGAGUUUGAUUUUUGUAAGAAUUAGCUUCCCUCCAAAUAAUUUAUUCACAAAAUAUUCUAAUGAACUGAACAAUCUUUUCUUCGUUUGAUAGUUAAAAUUGCUUGAUUGCGUGUUGUCCCAAAGAAAUAUUUGUUGUAAGUUCCCCAUGCAAUACUUCCUUGAGACUAUAUCAGGUAAAACCAUGAUCGUCUUUAUGGUUUUAUACGAAACAAAAAAUAUAUAUACCAUAUAUCUAAAGUACAAAUUUGUUACCUCAUGUUUGGUUAGAUUAGCACGAUUUGAAUUUUCGUACAAUUUCUUAUAUCCUCGAGAUCUUCCUUCCUAUGAUCUUAUGUUGAACUUGGAGUGUGGUCUCCAAAUUAAGCACCCUUCUAGAAAAACCCUAACUAUAUUUUUUCUAGACUGAAAGAGAGAAUACGUAUUUUUGUUUUUCCUCUGAUAGAAAAGUCUACUCAUACGUUUAUGAUCAAUAAUAUAUAUAAUAACAUUGAUCUUUACCCUCUCUCAAGAAGUUGGUCUAUAUUAGGCUAGGAAUUGAAAGAGAUCUCAAGGGAUUCCUUUAUUGACUCCAAUAUUUAUCUAGAUAUUAUUAUCUAAUAAUAAUAUUCAAAAUAAAUAUUAGUUACAAUUAAUUCCACUAAAUAAUUGUAAUUGUCACUUUAGUCCAGGAAUUAAUUAAAUAAACCAUUUAUUACUAAUAAACUGUAAAUAUUUCUUUUAUAAAUGUACAUAAAUAUUUCAGAAUCAAUUAAUAUAAUUCAAAUACAUUUAAAUUAAUUUCAUAAGUCCAUAAUUUAUCUCUAUUUGAUCAUAAAUUGAUUUAACAAUUAAAUUAAUAAUUUUUAUAAUAAAUAUUAAAAGACUCGACCAAGAUUCUAUGAUUAAUGAUAUUAUAAAAAAUCUUAUAGAUGUUUUGACAAUAAUAAUGUUCGUAAUAUUAAUUAAAUAUAUUAANNNNNNNNNNNNNNNNNNNNNNNNNNNNNNNNNNNNNNNNNNNNNNNNNNNNNNNNNNNNNNNNNNNNNNNNNNNNNNNNNNNNNNNNNNNNNNNNNNNNAUAUAUAUAUAUAUAUAUAUAUAUAUAUAUAUAUAUAUAUAUAACGAUAUUAAGUCUACUAUAAUUUCAAAUUUAAGACAUUUUACUAAUUAAUAUUUACGUGAACAUAUUUUACAAAUAAAAUAUUAUCACAUGAUCCGUUUAAUGCACACUGUUAAUGCAUUUUAGUACUUUAAUUAGAAGUCCAACUUCCAUGAUCAAUAUAAAUCAUCUCUGUUAAAGUACUAUAACCUACAGGAUAAUAUCUCCAAAUUAUCCUAGGUUACAAAUCAUUAUUUUUUUUAUUUAUAUAUUACAAAUUUAUAUCUUUUGUGUAUAACAUUUACUUAUACACAUAAACCAUAACAUAUAUAAUAUGGAGAUAUAUAUAAACAAACUAAAUAAUCAUUUAAUGAAUGAUGAAUCAAUGUCAUUAAAUGAUGAAUCAAUGUCUAACAUAAAUAAAUAGAUAAAUAGGAUUUUUAUAGCAAAAAAAUCUAACAUUAGUUAUUUCUCUUUUGCUUUUGUUGAGUUUUGUACAUGUCUCUUAUUGAAUGCAGGCCCCUCCUGUGAUAGUGUUCUCUUCCGCUUGUGCAGGAUUAGCAGGUUAGAGUUUCUCAAUAAUGUCUCGUAUUGGCAUACUCUUUGCUUGUGCUUGGUUACAUGUAUUAUUUUCAAUGUAUGUAUAAUUUUGGAGAAACUUUUUAAUAUGAUAACUCCAGCAAAAUCCUCCAUCAUUCUCUUUAAACUGCACUUUCUUUGUGUGAUUUUUAAUCUAAAUAUGUCUCUACACAUGCUAUAUUAUGGAGAUUUUCUUUCAAGUUAUUCUGGAACUGCAACCAUGUUUUUUUUAAUAAAAUGUACAACAGCUUCUAUUUAUUUCUGAUAAUACAUAUUUUUGCUAUUUCCUUUUUGGGAUUUGUGGUUGAGACAAGUGAUCGAACUCUUCUCUGAGGUUGCGCUUUAAAAGAAAAGAGAAUAGAAGGUCGUCCUUCUUACAUCUACUAUGAAGCACAACGAUUGAUCGAUCAUAUUCCUUCUCUUCAUUACUCUCAUGCAAUUGCAUGUGCAUGUGAUAGAGUACUUGUUGGGCUGUUUUCUUUUCUAAGGUGUAGCCCAUCAGUUAUGGUGCUUGAGAAGCCAACUUUAUUGUCAAAAGUUCAUUCUCUCCAGGAGGGAAUGAAAGUUUUGAUUUGCUGCAUCUUUAUUGUUUCUUUGGAUUGUUAAUUUAGACAAAUAAAUUGUUCUCCCCCCUAUACUCUGUCAUGAUACCUGGAUGUUAUUGCUUCCUCGCCAAUUUUAAGAGAAACUUGAUAUUUUUUCUGGCCUCUGCGAACCAAAUUCAAUUAGGGGGAUCUAGGGAAUUGGUGAGUUUCUGUACUCCAUUUUUGAGUUCCGUGGUUUCCGUUAAUUUUUAAUAUAGUUGACACUCCUCAAGUUUAGGUAGAGAUGAUUUAGGGAAUAGCAGUUGAUCCUUCAUUACAUUUGGGGACAAUUCUCUUUCUUUGAACUCAAGUAUACUGCUAUAUUUAAACACGUUUAUGUUUGUUGUGUGUCAACAUAUUUUGCGUGGGUUUGUUAUUCUGCAGGUGGUGCUGUUCCAGCACUUGCUCAACUUGCAUCUUCAUCUUAUCAUGCAACUGUCUCAUCUCCAUCAUUGCCCCCUCCAUCCUCACAGGAUGGAAAGAUAAGCAAAUCAAGAACCUCCUCCUCCACCCUGUAAGGAUUUAUUAACUGUUCCAUGGACUUAUAUGGCAAGGCAAAAGAGAGGGAGAUUCAUAGAUCCCUUGAGCUUAUACAAACAAGGGUUGGCAGUGGUUGUGACUAGAACUUCAGUCGGAUGGGCUGAUGGGGAACAUAGGCUUCUAACAUGUGUAGAGUUGUUCACUCGAUUUUAAAUUUUACAACAUAAUACAUAUAUAGAUUGUGAUUUUCUUUCCUGAAUGUAGAAAGAUGUAAACCAAUAUGUAAUGUGAUUCUCCAUUUUAUAAAUCUAGUACAGUUUUGCUGCGGGUUUAAAGCUCAUUGAAUCUUUUGUGGAAUCCUGGAAGUUAAAUGUCUGCCUGGUCGUUGGAUAUUUCGUUUCAGGUUUUGAGAUUUAUCAACCGAGAAUCAGCCCAGUGACGCAAGUGGGCACUAUCAUCUGCAGAGAUUCAUGUGGGGAACUGUAUGAACUAGGUAAGUUAUCUUAUUUACUGAGAUUACUGUAGUAGGACUUGGUAAAUUUCAGUGAAUAGAAUUCCAUUAGGGGUUAACAAACUUUUUAAAAAAGUUGUGCACCCAAAUAAGGGAGGGAAUUUGGUAUAAAUUUUGCAACUUUAAUAUGAUAUUUGCCAUCUUUGCACCGACUGUUUAUGCUUGAAUCCCACGCAUGCAUUAUUGAACGGAUACAAAUGAUAAUCUCUUGGCACUUUAUACACAUUUGAGGCAAUUUAAAGAGUCUUAUUAAUGAAGAAUGUGCUUUAGACUCUUCGCUCAAGCUAAUAAUUACAUUAGUUUUGAGAUUGUAUAUCUGUGUGUUAAGCAAAUGAGUGCUUGCUAAACAUAGACGGCAACUCGUAGAUAUAUCAUUAAUACUGACCCUACUGAGGAUCUUAUCAUUUGGGCAGCCUAUAUGCUGAUUUGAAGAAUCACCCUUUAUUUCAUGAAGAAUGCUAAAUAACUAGACAAAAUUUGUAUACCAUGCAUCUGGUAUAUGUAUGCCUACACAACGAUUGGUGCGUUUGGAAGUUAAAAGUGUAAGCCACGUUAGUAAUAAUCUUUUUGCAGAAGCAGAAAUGCAAUAAAAUUCAGGAAAGAACAGUUUCCUUAAGACAAUAUUUGGUCGUGGCAGGACAAAUUGUCUCCCAGGAUACAACAAUGCUCUGAAGCGAACUUUACCGUGUGUAGAAAGAUUAUCACUAAGUAGGAAGGAAGAACAAAGAAGAAAACCACUCUCUCUACAACAUGGGAG
rnacentral:lncRNA from 1 species